GCUGUGGUGGCUCAGGGGUAGACUUCUCGCCUUCAAUGCGGGAGACCUGGGUUCAAUUCCUAACCAAUGCG
rnacentral:tRNA from 1 species